CCACUACGGCGUCAUAGUGAAACCCCACCCAAAACAAGCCAUUUAGGUUUUUGAGUUUUGCACAUCACAGGCACACACUCACGCUUUCAAAUUCAAUUUUCUCCACUCAUCGUCAAAGGGUAAUGGCAGCAGCGGCAUAAAUCGGGGGUAAAUGAUUUAUAAUGUGGUGGUGAAGAACCAUAAUUGAUUUGUACGAUGAAUCUACACCCGAAGGCAGCGGCGAGCGAUUGUCCUCGUCGGUACACUAUCAUUUGGGCAUGAAGGAUAUUCAAUACGGAAGCUUAACAACUAUAGUAACUGGUAUACGAUGCAGUUUAGAUUAUUCGUAAAAAUGCAAAUGUGAGACUAGUGUUGGGCAGGGACCACGUGCUACUCAGAUAUAGUAUGAAGUUGUCGAAUUGUCAAAUUGGAAAGAUCGUCCAAGAUGAACUAGUGGGGGUUGAGGGGAUGAGAGGGAGAGAAAUAUAAACGACGAUAACAUGGCUUGCGGAUGUUGGAGGUGAUACAGGACAAUAGUUUAGAGAUUGGGUCUUUGUUAUAAGAUAUUUUUGGCUCGACAUUUGUAGUAUAUUUUUACCAUUAGAACUUUUGAAAUAUCACAACAGAGAUAAUGGUUUUGUCUUAAUAUACUUAUAUGAUCAUUUUAUUGGUUUUGUUGUACAUUUCUUUUGAUACAGACAAUUUGUGACAAAGUGUUUGUGACAGAGGAUUGGUGACUAAUUG